CCAGCAUGGCCAAACAGCGAUUCGAAAGAGCUGCAAGACAGUGGAAUCCCAUAAACCACGCCAGUAGUGCAAGGAGCAUAUCUGUGGACAUGACUGGAGACACAUUUGUUCCCUUUCCCUGGCUGCUGACACAAUGCUCUAUCCACCAAAGUACACACAUUAUGCCCUUUAUUACAUGCUGAGAAUGACAUGUUUAUGCAAUAACGAGCACCAACAUUUUUCAAACCAUGUGCUAUCCUGUGUAUGUAUGGGAUAACUGCCUGC